rnacentral:rRNA from 1 species
CCUACGGGAGGCAGCAGUGGGGAAUAUUGGGCAAUGGAGGAAACUCUGACCCAGCGACGCCGCGUGCGGGAUGAAGGCCUUCGGGUUGUAAACCGCUUUCAGUAGGGAAGAAGCGAAAGUGACGGUACCUACAAAAGAAGCACCGGCUAACUAUGUGCCAGCAGCCGCGGUAAUACAUAGGGUGCAAGCGUUGUCCGGAAUUAUUGGGCGUAAAGAGCUCGUAGGUCGUUUGUUACGUCGGAUGUGAAAACCUGAGGCUCAACCUCAGGCCUGCAUUCGAUACGGGCAAACUAGAGUUUGGUAGGGGAGACUGGAAUUCCUGGUGUAGCGGUGGAAUGCGCAGAUAUCAGGAGGAACACCAAUGGCGAAGGCAGGUCUCUGGGCCAAUACUGACACUGAGGAGCGAAAGUCUGGGGAGCGAACAGGAUUAGAUACCCUGGUAGUCCAGACCGUAAACGGUGGGCACUAGUUGUGGGAACCUUCCACGGUUUCUGCGACGCAGCUAACGCAUUAAGUGCCCCGCCUGGGGAGUACGAUCGCAAGAUUAAACUUAAGAAAUUGACGG